rnacentral:tRNA from 1 species
AGAAAUUUAGGUUACACUAAACCAAGAGCCUUCAAAGCUCUUAACAAGGAAUAACUCCUUAAUUUCUG